ACCUGGCUGGCUCAGUUGGAAGAGCAUGUGACUCUUGAUCUCAAAGUCAUAAGUUCGAGCCCCAUGUGAGGUG
rnacentral:tRNA from 1 species